rnacentral:rRNA from 1 species
GAAACAUUUGAAGUGACUUAGUGGCGGACGGGUGAGUAACGCGUGGGUAACCUGCCCUGUACUGGGGGACAACAGUUGGAAACGGCUGCUAAUACCGCAUAAGCGCACAGCAUCGCAUGGUGCAGUGUGAAAAACUCCGGUGGUACAGGAUGGACCCGCGUCUGAUUAGCUAGUUGGUGGGGUAACGGCCUACCAAGGCAACGAUCAGUAGCCGGCCUGAGAGGGUGAACGGCCACAUUGGGACUGAGACACGGCCCAGACUCCUACGGGAGGCAGCAGUGGGGAAUAUUGCACAAUGGGCGCAAGCCUGAUGCAGCGACGCCGCGUGAGUGAUGAAGUAUUUCGGUAUGUAAAGCUCUAUCAGCAGGGAAGAAAAUGACGGUACCUGACUAAGAAGCACCGGCUAAAUACGUGCCAGCAGCCGCGGUAAUACGUAUGGUGCAAGCGUUAUCCGGAUUUACUGGGUGUAAAGGGAGCGUAGGCGGCAUGGCAAGUCAGAUGUGAAAGCCCGGGGCCCAACCCCGGAACUGCAUUUGAAACUGUCAGGCUAGAGUACCGGAGAGGUAAGCGGAAUUCCUAGUGUAGCGGUGAAAUGCGUAGAU